rnacentral:rRNA from 1 species
AACGAACGCUGGCGGCAUGCCUAACACAUGCAAGUCGAACGAGACCUUCGGGUCUAGUGGCGCACGGGUGCGUAACGCGGGGGAACCUGCCCUUAGGUUCGGAAUAACUCCCCGAAAGGGGUGCUAAUACCGGAUAAUGUCUUCCGACCAAAGAUUUAUCGCCUUUGGAUGGGCCCGCGUUGGAUUAGCUAGUUGGUAGGGUAAAAGCCUACCAAGGCGACGAUCCAUAGCUGGUCUGGGAGGAUGAUCAACCACGCUGGGACUGAGACACGGCCCAGACUCCUACGGGAGGCAGCAGUGGGGAAUAUUGGACAAUGGGCGAAAGCCUGAUCCAGCAAUGCCGCGUGAGUGAUGAAGGCCUUAGGGUUGUAAAGCUCUUUUACCCGGGAUGAUAAUGACAGUACCGGGAGAAUAAGCUCCGGCUAACUCCGUG